UACGGAGGGUGCGAGCGUUGUCCGGAAUCACUGGGCGUAAAGGGCGCGUAGGUGGCUACUUAAGCGUGUGGUGAAAGUCCGGGGCUCAACCCCGGAUCGGCCGUGCGAACUGAGUGGCUUGAGCACUGUAGAGGCAGGUGGAAUUCCGGGUGUAGCGGUGGAAUGCGUAGAGAUCCGGAAGAACACCGGUGGCGAAGGCGGCCUGCUGGGCAGUGGCUGACACUGAGGCGCGACAGCGUGGGGAGCAAACAGGAUUAGAAACCCUGUAGUCC
rnacentral:rRNA from 1 species